AUGGCCGCCAUGCUCCACGCCAAGAUCAACCGCAAGCGCCUCGACAAUCUCGACAUCAUCAAAAUCUGCAAGGAGAUCCUGAACCCGUCGGUGCCCAUGGCGCUCAGGCUCUCCGGGAUCCUCAUGGGCGGCGUGGUGAUCGUGUACGAGAGGAAGGUGAAGCUUCUCUAUGAUGAUGUGUCCCGUCUUCUGAUUGAGAUCAACGAGGCAUGGAAGAUCAGGCCGGCCGUGGACCACACCGUCCUCCCCAAGGGCAAGGCUCAAGCCAAGUAUGAAGCAGUAACACUGCCAGAGAACGCGGUGGAUAUGGAGGUGGAGCAGCCCGUGUUUUUGACAGAUACUGAUACUACUAGGUUUCGCGGAAUGGUAAUCGUUGUCAUCUAUGUAUUCUGGAAGUUGAAACUGUGUUAG
rnacentral:rRNA from 1 species